CCUACGGGAGGCAGCAGUGAGGAAUAUUGGUCAAUGGACGCGAGUCUGAACCAGCCAAGUAGCGUGAAGGAUGACUGCCCUAUGGGUUGUAAACUUCUUUUAUAAAGGAAUAAAACGAGGCACGUGUGCCUUUUUGCAUGUACUUUAUGAAUAAGGAUCGGCUAACUCCGUGCCAGCAGCCGCGGUAAUACGGAGGAUCCGAGCGUUAUCCGGAUUUAUUGGGUUUAAAGGGAGCGUAGAUGGGUUGUUAAGUCAGUUGUGAAAGUUUGCGGCUCAACCGUAAAAUUGCAAUUGAUACUGGCAGUCGUGAGUACAGUUGAGGUAGGCGGAAUUCGUGGUGUAGCGGUGAAAUGCUUAGAUAUCACGAAGAACCCCGAUUGCGAAGGCAGCUUACUAAACUGCGACUGACAUUGAUGCUCGAAAGUGUGGGUAUCAAACAGGAUUAGAUACCCUGGUAGUC
rnacentral:rRNA from 1 species